rnacentral:misc_RNA from 1 species
UGUAUUUGUACAGUCUGCAAAACAUAACAAAUGACAUGAAUAUCUCCUAAUAGAUCUCAGAGUUCAUAUCAAAUCUGAACCAAAGAGAUUCAUAUGCGUAAACUGCAGCAUCAAAAGCAGAGACUGCUAAACAUAAUAGUUCAUCAGUACGGCACCUAGAACAACUCAACAAAUCCCCACCAAAACCAUUCAGACCAAAGUUUAAAAAAUAAUCAGGUAUCGUUCUUCUCAUUCAAGGACCAGAGCUUCUGUUAACCAAAUAUAGCACCUAAAUACUGCAAGUAAAUGCAAAUAUUGUUUCCACCAAGACCAACUUUUUCCAUUCAAUCAACUUAAGCAACUUCUAAUGUUAGACAAAUUAUAUUAAUAUCUAAUCAGCAAAAUCUAAUCCAUUCUCACAGCUAUUCAUAAAAGAAUUUGUUUUCACUAAAUUUAUCCCUAAAUCCUAACUAUUUAGAAAUGAUAGGAUAAGUCCUUUUAAGAACUGAAAUCAGCAUGAAAAAGCCUUGAUACACACAUGGGUCCUUUCCUUCAACCCAGUCUUCCUAGAACCAACGCCUAAAUUCAAUCCUAAAAGGUUGAAUAUUCUCUCCAUAAUUCUACCACAAUUUGGUCUCCAAUUUGCCCAUACAAAGCUGGAACUUGAAUUAAUUUCUUGGGCACAAACUGCGAGCAGACUAGGGUUGCUUAUCUGGGCUCCUUAAGCAUAUGUGCAGCGACCAAUUGAUUUCCUAAAAGUUUGGUUUUCACCAAAUUCGAAAGGGCAUCUGCGAUUUCUACCUAAUAAUUUGUAGAAUCAAAACAUUUCAACUCUCGAUUUUUGAAAGAAAAAUUAACAAAAUGCUUCACUAGCACAUUAUCUAUAACGGUAAAGCGAUAGUAUAUUACAAUUUCCUUUCUUCUCCUAAAUUUUCUCAAGGUCCAAACAGAAUCCAACAACAUACAUACACACAUCACAAAUAACUAAAUAAAAAAAGAAAACCUCAAGAAAUUGGACUU